AUAAUGAUAUAGCCCAUUAAGUGAGUGCUUGUAUAUAUAUGUAUAAACCAAGGGUUAUGUUUGGUUUAAGUGAGUGCUUGUAUAUAUAUGUAUAAUUAGGAAUCAAACCUCAAACCCUAAAGAAAACCACGAAGCUAGCCGUCGUUGCGAUAUCGUUCAUCACCGGCGAGACCACCACCACUCCAUCAACUGAUCAAUAUCAUCGUUAGUGUCGUGAUCUACCGUCGAUGUUGUGCUUCUCUCCACCACUAUGUUACGUUGAUCUGGAUAAGAAGGAGCAGAUCAGAGAAUGGACCUGAUCAUGAUCCAUGGAGAAAGGAAGAAGAAGAAGAAAGAGACAAGGAGAGAGUAGAAACGGAGAGAGAGGAGUAGACGUCGCGGAGGAGAAGAGAUCACCACGGGGAAGUAUUAGGAGAGGAAGAGUUUGAUCGUGACAGUAAGGAAAUUCUGAAACGAAGAAGAUAUGACCAGAUCGAAGGGAGGCAAAGCAAAACAGAAACAAAGAAGAAAGAAGAUGGAGGGCAAAGCGUAGUUUUGGGGUUUUGCGAGGUGAAUUCCCGUCAUACCAGAGAGAAUCAGAUGACGAAAACUGUCCAAAUUUGUGCUAAGUAUGAUCAAGAAAACAGCUUCGUGUUGGAUUCUUCGAGACAACGUUUGGAGUUGCGAAACUACGCCGAUCGGGACAAAAUUUGGUGGAGAGCUUCAUGGUACUACUGGCUAGAUAAUCAAUGGUGGAAUUAUGUUUAUAACGGUUAGUUCUUUACUUAUGCAUAUGUUUCCGAAACAGUUUUGUGUGGAGUAAAUCAUGACGAAUUUGUAUUGUUGGUUGGGUAAAUGAGCUCGGUUUGAGCUGAAGCUUUGCAGAAGCUUUCAUAACUCAUGGAGGAAGGUCUUGGUUUAUGGAGAACCAUAAUGGAGCUAAAGAGCAUGAACCAUAAUGAAGAUUUUCUAAAGCUAUAGAAGAUCUUCUAUGUUUCAGUGGGCAGAGUUGAUUCUCCUCGCUGAGUAUUCUUUACCCACCUUUUUUUUUCCUUUUUUUCUCAGGUGAGUAAGCUUCAGGAGUUGUGUGCAAUAUUAUGUUCGUGUUUGAAGUUUAAAGAAAAUAUUUUGGCAAAAUCGGAUGAAUAACACGCUACGCUGUUUUGACCAAUAGGACGAGACAUGUGUUACAAAAAAAAAUUUGUGUUUAAGCCUCUCUCCCACAGUCCCACGUCAAUGAAUCCAUGAAUCUCAUGAAACCCUUUUUCUCUCAUCGUCCAUAAUAUCUGUUCCCAAAGAUUUGUUAGAUUAUGAUGUGUUAAAAAUUAUUUAUUUCUAUUCAUAAACAAAUUAGUCAAGCUUUGUAUCUCGUCUUGUACCCAAGUCUUACUCUUACCAUCAAUUAUAGUGUGAACUGAUUUAUUACACCACAAAA